rnacentral:lncRNA from 14 species
CUAAUAUCUUGGAGCGAGGAUGUGAAAACAAAUGACUUGUAACCCAGCAAAACUUUUGCCAUACAAAUUGAAUUCCAGAUAGCAAAUUAGGAUGUCACUGUCAUCUCUGUAAGCAAACUACUGACAAUUUCACCCAGGCAGAGGGAGAAAAGCAGCAGUGAGUUGAGACACCUCGCUGCAGUGCUGGACUUUCCCCGUGAAGCAGCACACAUCGCUUCCAAUGGAAUUCCAUUCUCCUUUACCGUAUCAUCAUGUGCAGACCUGAAACUGGCUCUGUUUAAAUGAUGCCUUCAAGAGGAUUAUACCAGGCUGUGUGGGGAAGAGUAUGAACAAGGUGCUGUCUUGACUCAGCUGCAGGUGGUUGGUGCACCUUGGCACAUUGAAGAUGACAGCAAAGGUUCUUCUCAGUUAAAAACACAACUCAGAAAACAAGACAGCUACCAGGAAACUAACGAGCAGAUGAAAGGCGAAGCUGGGACUUUACAGUUCCGGCCCUCCCGGGCUGGAGUGUGCAUGGAAUGCGGCGGGACCCGGAGUGAGCCCAAGGACAAGCCCAGCCCUUCCCCGCCAGCGGGUGCUCCCUGA